rnacentral:lncRNA from 1 species
GUUUUAGAUUUUAUGGUAUAUAUUCUCUAAUAAAUAUACACCUUAAGGAAAAAAGGUGGUUUUAUUUCAGUUUUAUAAAAACAUAGGACUUUCUUAGACAUUAUUGUAGUUGUCAGUUUUGAAAGCUACAAGGUGUAUAAACAGUUUUAGUUAUAUGUGACAGACACUGGUUCUCUUAUAUUAAAACCAGUAAUAUUUACAAAAUACUGUCACAAAUGUAGUUAAGUUUUUCUUAUCAUCCAAUAUUGAUAUGGGGAAAAAUUAAAUGGCAAAUUAAAUAUUUCUUGCUUUCAUUCCUAAAUAAUGAACAAACUUUGAGCAAAAGAAGAUUGGAGAAAAAUUGGAACAGUGGUAAAGGUAUCCUGUCCUAGGGAUAUUGCCUGAUUAAGUGCCAUUUGUUGCCAGGCUCAGGGCUGAGUGUCAUGAGGGAUGCAAAUUACUGUUUUUACCUUUAGGAACCAUAUGGCUUAGGGCUGGCACAUGCCCAGUGGUAGACUGCUUGCCUGGCAUGCACAAGGCUCUGGAGUCAAUCUCAGCACUACAAAAAGAAAAGGUUGAGAUGAUAAUAUAAAGUGACCUAUAUGAAAUAAUAAAAUGCAGUGCACUUCUACAUAGCUGUAUGGAUUCUAGUUUUUGUUAUCUUAAGAAAUAUUAUAAUUUGUCCAUUUUCCAUAAUUGAAUGAGAAAUUGAGUAACUAGAAAUCAAAGUUUAAAAUAUAUCAAAGCCUUUGUGUUUUCUUCAAAAUUAUAGCCAUAGGACAUGGACACAUCUUAUGUUUUACCUUUCCUCCUCUUUUGAAGGUAUAAGCAAAUAACAAAACAACUAUCAGGCCAGUGAUCAUGUGAAGAGGGAAACACAAAAGAGUUGGAAUAUAAAGACCAGAAUAACUAAAACAUAGCAAUGCAAAAAGUGGAAAACAAAAAACUUUUUAUAAAUAAGAAGUAUGUAAAUAAAAAAUUACUAAGUAACAACAAAGCUUUGUAAUUGCUGUCCUGUCUUCAGGGUAGGUUAUUUAGACACAUUAUAUAGCCCUUUUUAAGUAAAAACAACAAGCGAAAAACAUUAGAGAUUCUUGCAAAUUAUUCUGAGCUGACCUAGGAAAUCAGGUAAAAAAAAGAAGACAGCCCUACUGAGCAGUCAGGGAGUGGCACAGGUCAGUCUACUGGUAGCUCCAGAUCCUUGGUGCUUGAAGUAUGGAAACAUUCUAAUUUGCGGGAUGCAUGUGGAUUUGGUUAUUUAAAAAGAAUGUGAAAGCCUAUAUUUUAUUCUUAUAAAGGAAAGCACUAUGAAUUUUCUUAGUUACUGAUUUUUCCCUUCUUUCCCAUAGUACUACCUACAUAUGGAUGGCAGAGGCAAUUAUGAAUUCAAACAGAUCACAGAAGAUACAGUUGAGUUUGGCUCUUAGAGAAAUCUGGAGUAACUGUACCUGCUUCAAUGAAAUCAAAUUAUUACAGAAUACUCUUAGAAAUACAAAGUGCAUUGUAAAAUAAAGUUGAGCUUGUUUUUUUUUUUUUUUUUUGAAAAAAAAAAACAAAACAACGAAUUAACUAGGUAAAGUGUAAUUGAGGACAUAUUAAAACAUUUAAUAUUAUAUAGGAUAUUGCUAAUUGUGUAUAUGUUGGUUUAAUUAUUAAUAUGUACUAAGAAUGUCCUUAUUCUUGUGGUUAAAAACCUGCCUAAAUUAAAUUGGGCUUAAAUCAGUGUAAUCUGAUUCAUCCUGGGAUGUAAACCAUUUGAAGUCAGCUAAUCUGACUUUUAUGGCUCUGUCUUUUCCUUCAAUGAAGAGCCCUGUUUAAAACUGGGGUCAUCUCUUGUCCAGUUCAAACAAAGUAGUCUUGAGUUUCAUUUUCUUGUGCCCCAUGGUAAUGGGAACCAAACGAAUCACAGUAUAUUCUUAAAAUGUAUGACAUCUCUUUGCUUAAUGGCAUUUAUCACACAGUGGCAGAUUUCUUUUGCUGCCAAUUAUACUCAUUCCUUAUAUAUGCCUUGGGGUGUACUUGACCCCAAGAGAGCCAUUUGGACUUUAUUAAGCUAAAUAAUAAAUGUGCCCUUCUCAAUCUGCAGGAUUGAGUUGUUUUGAGGGUUCUUUGUGGUGAUGUAAUGAAAGUGUAUGUAUAGUCUUGCCUAGAAGGGAUGGUUACUACAUGUCACACCUAGUCUUCCCAAUGUUUGGGAUAUUAAAAUGCAAAGUUCUUACAUGUCAAGCUCAAGGUCUUACAAGCAGUUUAGAUCUUGAAGAAAAUUGGACAGAUUUGUGUGUUAGGAGCCUACUCUUUAGAAGCGUGGUGGUCAUAUGGUCUUAGACUCCAGGUGAGCCAUAGGUAAUGCACCACGUGAAGCAAUGCACUGAGUAUGCAGGGCCAUCACAGUCUCUGACUGUGAUUUUAUUUUGAAGAAUAUGUUAAAAAUUAUCACACACAUGGGUGAAUUAUGUUUCCUAGGUACUGGUUUAUCUCUGAAUCUUGAAUAACUUUUUCACAUUUGGGUUAUUAUAUUAAAACUAUCCUAAGUGAAUUUCAGUUCACCAAACCAACAUUAAUGACUACAUGUAUUAUUUGCACAAGGAGAACUGAAUCUGAGUGUAAUUAAUAAGCUAGACAUGAAUCAGUUUUAUCAACGUGGGUUUGGAAAGGGGCAUUUUAUAAUCUUGUUUCUGCAACUGGUUUUAUUUUUUGCAAAAUUAACUAAAAUCACUGGCUAUCGAAGUAAACUUGAUGUACUGAUUACAUAAUACAUAACAUUCAGUUUUUACCACUUCUGUUUAGCAAACUUGUAUACUUAUUUUCUGUUCAGAUUAAAAAAAAAUCAGAUACCCUAUACAACCUUUGCUUGUUUUUUUUUUUUGUUGUUGUUGUUGUUUGUUUAUUUUUUUUAUUCUGGUAUCUAAAUACUGGUGGUUCAUGCAUAGUUCAUAUAGUCUUGACUUGAAAAAAACAAAAAUAAAUUAACAUUCAGAAAGGACCUUCAAGCACAUGUCUCUUUUUACAGUUUUGUUGAAUUUGGUUUGUAUGUGCAUUUAUUUCUUUUUUAGAAAAUCCUAAUAAAAUCUUCAGUGUACUUCACAAAUGCUACUAAAUACCUAGGAGACCUUGGCGCCCUAGGAAAGAUUUUAAGACCCAAAAAGUGC